rnacentral:rRNA from 1 species
UACGGAGGGUGCAAGCGUUAUCCGGAUUCACUGGGUUUAAAGGGUGCGUAGGUGGGCAGGUAAGUCAGUGGUGAAAUCUCCGGGCUUAACCCGGAAACUGCCAUUGAUACUAUCUGUCUUGAAUAUCGUGGAGGUGAGCGGAAUAUGUCAUGUAGCGGUGAAAUGCUUAGAUAUGACAUAGAACACCAAUUGCGAAGGCAGCUCACUACGCGAAUAUUGACACUGAGGCACGAAAGCGUGGGGAUCAAAC